rnacentral:rRNA from 1 species
UUUAGUGGAACGGUCUGGAAAGUCCGACGGUACAGGGUGAUAGUCCCGUACACGAAAGCACACUUGCUGUGAACUCGAAGAGUAGGGCGGGACACGUGGUAUCCUGUCUGAAUAUGGGGGGACCAUCCUCCAAGGCUAAAUACUCCUGACUGACCGAUAGUGAACCAGUACCGUGAGGGAAAGGCGAAAAGAACCCCGGCGAGGGGAGUGAAAAAGAACCUGAAACCGUGUACGUACAAGCAGUGGGAGCCUCUUUAUGGGGUGACUGCGUACCUUUUGUAUAAUGGGUCAGCGACUUAUAUUCUGUAGCAAGGUUAACCGUAUAGGGGAGCCGAAGGGAAACCGAGUCUUAACUGGGCGUUAAGUUGCAGGGUAUAGACCCGAAACCCGGUGAUCUAGCCAUGGGCAGGUUGAAGGUUGGGUAACACUAACUGGAGGACCGAACCGACUAAUGUUGAAAAAUUAGCGGAUGACCUGUGGCUGGGGGUGAAAGGCCAAUCAAACCGGGAGAUAGCUGGUUCUCCCCGAAAGCUAUUUAGGUAGCGCCUCGUGAACUCAUCUUCGGGGGUAGAGCACUGUUUCGGCUAGGGGGCCAUCCCGGCUUACCAACCCGAUGCAAACUACGAAUACCGAAGAAUGUUAUCACGGGAGACACACGGCGGGUGCUAACGUCCGUCGUGAAGAGGGAAACAACCCAGACCGCCAGCUAAGGUCCCAAAGUCAUGGUUAAGUGGGAAACGAUGUGGGAAGGCACAGACAGCCAGGAUGUUGGCUUAGAAGCAGCCAUCAUUUAAAGAAAGCGUAAUAGCUCACUGGUCGAGUCGGCCUGCGCGGAAGAUGUAACGGGGCUAAACCAUGCACCGAAGCUGCGGCAGCGACACUAUGUGUUGUUGGGUAGGGGAGCGUUCUGUAAGCCGUUGAAGGUGUGC